UACGUAGGGCGCGAGCGUUGUCCGGAAUUAUUGGGCGUAAAGAGCUCGUAGGCGGCUUGUCACGUCGGGUGUGAAAGACCGGGGCUUAACUCCGGUUCUGCAUUCGAUACGGGCUAGCUAGAGUGUGGUAGGGGAGAUCGGAAUUCCUGGUGUAGCGGUGAAAUGCGCAGAUAUCAGGAGGAACACCGAUGGCGAAGGCAGGUCUCUGGGCCACUACUGACGCUGAGAAGCGAAAGCGUGGGGAGCGAACAGG
rnacentral:rRNA from 1 species